AAGCCGUGCCUUUCAGGCAUCCUCUCCUAAAAACUUUUCGGCCGGGCUCUGCCCGGCCUUUUUUUUGGACCGC
rnacentral:sRNA from 2 species